rnacentral:pre_miRNA from 1 species
ACAGGUGUGCACCACUGGGCCUGGCUAAAAUGCAGAUUUUGAUUCAGCUGGUCUGAGAUGAUGAUGAUGCCCCAAAUUUUGCAUCUCUAACAAGCUCCCAGGUGAUGCCCAU